CUGGGGUUCCGGGUCUUUCGCUGGUUUUGAAUAUUUUUCCGAGUACCCAUUUUAUGCAGAACAUCUUUAGGCAAAACACAGUUAUAGCAACACAACAUUUACCACUUUUCCUGAGGAAGUCUCUACUGCGGAGGAAUGAGUUCAGAGUUAACAAACUUAUUCGGUUUCUUUGCUAAUUUUUACUAAAUUCAUUUGAGAGAAUAACCUCUCUACCUCUGCAUUUGAAUUGAAUGAGGCAGUGGAA